AACGAACGCUGGCGGCAUGCCUAACACAUGCAAGUCGAACGAGACCUUCGGGUCUAGUGGCGCACGGGUGCGUAACGCGUGGGAACCUGCCCUUAGGUUCGGAAUAACUCCCCGAAAGGGGUGCUAAUACCGGAUAAUGUCCUCGGACCAAAGAUUUAUCGCCUUUGGAUGGGCCCGCGUUGGAUUAGCUAGUUGGUAGGGUAAAAGCCUACCAAGGCGACGAUCCAUAGCUGGUCUGAGAGGAUGAUCAGCCACACUGGGACUGAGACACGGCCCAGACUCCUACGGGAGGCAGCAGUGGGGAAUAUUGGACAAUGGGCGAAAGCCUGAUCCAGCAAUGCCGCGUGAGUGAUGAAGGCCUUAGGGUUGUAAAGCUCUUUUACCCGGGAUGAUAAUGACAGUACCGGGAGAAUAAGCUCCGGCUAACUCCGU
rnacentral:rRNA from 1 species